rnacentral:rRNA from 1 species
CCUACGGGGGGCAGCAGUGGGGAAUAUUGGGCAAUGGGCGCAAGCCUGACCCAGCAACGCCGCGUGAAGGAAGAAGGCUUUCGGGUUGUAAACUUCUUUUCUCAGGGACGAAGCAAGUGACGGUACCUGAGGAAUAAGCCACGGCUAACUACGUGCCAGCAGCCGCGGUAAUACGUAGGAGGCAAGCGUUAUCCGGAUUUACUGGGUGUAAAGGGCGUGUAGGCGGGGACGCAAGUCAGAGGUGAAAACCACGGGCUCAACCUGUGUACUGCAUUUGAAACUGUGUUUCUUGAGUACUGGAGAGGCAGACGGAAUGCGUGGUGUAGCGGUGAAAUGCGUAGAUAGUAGGAGGAACACCAGUGGCGAAGGCGGUCUGCUGGACAGCAACUGACGCUGAGGCGCGAAAGCGUGGGGAGCAAACAGGAUUAGAUACCCUGGUAGUC